GAUGUUUGCAGCGGGACAUGACGUGGAGUAAGAGCUGGAGUCCCUUCUCAGGUGAAUCCACGGCAGAGUGAGGUCGGGCUGAGUGGACUCGGUGUCCAAGCCCCCCUGGUCAACACCCAGGAGAACACCUGGGGAAGGCCACGGCCCAGUGUGCCCUGUGGCCGCCGCGCUGGCAGGGCUCGUGGUUGUAGUCUUCAUCAUAUCUGGAUGGCAAGUGUCAAGUUGGGUCACUGGAGUGCCUGCUGGGAGAGGCUCCAGUUCAAGCGCGACUCUAAUGAGGACAAGAGCUAUAUAGAAAGUGGAUGGAUAUAUAUGUCUCCUUUAAGGUAUGCACACUACACAUAUACUGUAAUGUUUAU